UACGGAGGGUGCAAGCGUUAUCCGGAUUCACUGGGUUUAAAGGGUGCGUAGGUGGGCAGGUAAGUCAGUGGUGAAAUCUCUGGGCUUAACCCGGAAACUGCCGUUGAUACUAUCUGUCUUGAAUAUUGUGGAGGUGAGCGGAAUAUGUCAUGUGGCGGUGAAAUGCUUAGAUAUGACAUAGAACAUCGAUUGCGAAGGCAGCUCGCUACACUACGAUUGACACUGAGGCACGAAAGCGUGGGGAUCAAACAGG
rnacentral:rRNA from 1 species